UACAGAGGGUGCGAGCGUUGUCCGGAAUCACUGGGCGUAAAGGGCGCGUAGGCGGCCUGGUAAGUAGGGGGGGAAAUCCUGCGGCUCAACCGCAGGGCUGCCUCCUAAACUGUCAGGCUGGAGCACGGUAGAGGCAGAUGGAAUUCCCGGUGUAGCGGUGGAAUGCGUAGAGAUCGGGAAGAACACCAGUGGCGAAGGCGGUCUGCUGGGCCGUUGCUGACGCUGAGGCGCGACAGCGUGGGGAGCAAACAGG
rnacentral:rRNA from 1 species